GCAGUUGACGAGAAGUAUCCUUCGGGAUGCGAGUAAAGUGGCGAACGGGUGAGUAACACGUAAGGAACCUGCCCUCAGAUAUGGGAUAAUUUUGCUAACGCGGGGCUAAUACCGUAUAACGCAUUUUGUCCGCAUGGACAGUUUGUUAAAGAUGGGGAUCCUUUUAGGACCUAUUGUCUGAGGAUGGUCUUGCGGUCCAUUAGCUUGUUGGUGAGGUAACGGCUCACCAAGGCUGCGAUGGAUAGCCGGCCUGAGACCAUGAUCGGCCACACUGGGACUGAGAUACGGCCCAGACUCCUACGGGAGGCAGCAGUAAGGAAUAUUGCGCAAUGGUCUAACGACUGACGCAGCAACGCCGCGUGACUGAUGAAGCAUUUCGAUGUGUAAAGGUCUGUUAGGAGGGAAGAACANCUCCACUUCGAAAGGGGUGGAGGAUGACGUUACCUCCAGAGAA
rnacentral:rRNA from 1 species